AUAUACACACACACACACAACAGAAAGAAAAACGAAAGAACAAAACACUACCCUCUGCAAAAAUGAACACCUGCCAAAUCAGCAGAAAGCCAAGAAAGACUUCUGCAGGAGGAGAAACAAUUUGGGUAUCCAGCAAGUUUCAUCCACCACUGCAACUGAAAUGCUAGAAACAUGCUAGUCCUGCAGCAUUUAUAUGGGUAAGCAUAUGAAUAACUUUGAACACUUCCCCUCAAAGGUAGAACAUAUAUGCCAAUCAUGUCCAACUUGUCACAUGGUUUGUAAUUUAGCAGCAGCUAGCUUCAGUAAGCAAAUCAACUAAUUGAUCCUCAAAUCACACAUGCAGUGACCAUUUAUGUCUUUAAGAUCAUGGCUCUGUCAAGUGUAAAAAAUCUACUUCAUUCUCCUCUCUUGAAACACUGAAUUCAAAACAGUGCACAUGCUGGUUUGAUUAUACAGGAGGAGUAAGUCUAACAUGCUCUCUCAUCUUUCUCAUUCUUUUAUCAGCUGUAUUGUUUGGUAUACCAUUCGUUCAUCCAACAACCUAGAGAGAAUUGUUUGUUUUAAAGAGCAUCUACCAAAAGGUGGGUGCACAUAAGAUUGAUACAAUUCCAUAUAUUCAAUCAUUGAUAUAGCACA
rnacentral:misc_RNA from 1 species